rnacentral:rRNA from 1 species
CUACGGAGGGUGCAAGCGUUACUCGGAAUCACUGGGCGUAAAGCGCGCGCAGGCGGCUAUUUAAGUUGGAUGUGAAAGCCUACGGCUCAACCGUAGAACUGCAUCCAAAACUAUUUAGCUAGAGUGUGGGAGAGGAAGAUGGAAUUAGUUGCGUAGGGGUAAAAUCCGUAGAGAUAACUAGGAAUACCAAAAGCGAAGGCAAUCUUCUGGAACACUACUGACGCUGAGGCGCGAAAGCGUGGGGAGCAAACAGGAGUAGAUACCCUAGUAGUCC